AUUGAACGCUGGCGGCAUGCCUUACACAUGCAAGUCGAACGGCAGCACGGGAGCAAUCCUGGUGGCGAGUGGCGAACGGGUGAGUAAAGUAUCGGAACGUGCCCAGUCGUGGGGGAUAACGUAGCGAAAGUUACGCUAAUACCGCAUACGAUCUAUGGAUGAAAGCGGGGGAUCGCAAGACCUCGCGCGAUUGGAGCGGCCGAUAUCAGAUUAGGUAGUUGGUGGGGUAAAGGCUCACCAAGCCGACGACCUGUAGCUGGUCUGAGAGGACGACCAGCCACACUGGGACUGAGACACGCCCCAGACUCCUACGGGAGGCAGCAGUGGGGAAUUUUGGACAAUGGGCGAAAGCCUGAUCCAGCCAUGCCGCGUGCAGGAUGAAGGCCUUCGGGUUGUAAACUGCUUUUGUACGGAACGAAAAGGUUUGGCCUAAUAAGCUGAGCUCAUGACGGUACCGUAAGAAUAAGCACCGGCUAACUACGUGCCAGCCGCCGCAGUAA
rnacentral:rRNA from 1 species